rnacentral:rRNA from 1 species
UACAGAGGUGGCAAGCGUUGUUCGGAAUUACUGGGCGUAAAGGGCGCGUAGGCGGUCUUGUAAGUCCUGUGUGAAAUCCCUCGGCUUAACUGAGGAACUGCACGGGAUACUGCGAGACUUGAGAUCGGGAGAGGGAAGCGGAAUUCCGGGUGUAGCGGUGAAAUGCGUAGAUAUCCGGAGGAACACCGGUGGCGAAGGCGGCUUCCUGGGCCGACACUGACGCUGAGGCGCGAAAGCUAGGGGAGCAAACGGG